GAACUUAAGAGUUUGAUCCUGGCUCAGAUUGAACGCUGGCGGCAUGCUUUACACAUGCAAGUC
rnacentral:rRNA from 1 species